GUCCACGCCGUAAACUAUGAUUACUCGAUAUUGGCUAUAUACGGUCAGUGUCUAAGCGAAAGUUAUAAGUAAUCCACCUGGGGAGUACGGUCGCAAGAUUGAAACUCAAAGGAAUUGACGGGGGCCCCGCACAAGCGGUGGAGCAUGUGGUUUAAUUCGAUGAUACGCGAGGAACCUUACCAGGACUUGAAUGCAUUUUGACAGAUUGAGAAAUCAGUCGUUCUUCGGACAAUUUGCAAGGUGCUGCAUGGCUGUCGU
rnacentral:rRNA from 1 species